AGGGCCACGAGUUUCCUCGGCUGCGGUGGUGCCGGGCGGGGGGCGGGGGCAGGUGUCUCAGCGGGAGCCUGACAUUGGGGAGCAAGCCAGUCUCUGCUCCCUGACCCCCACUGGGACGGCCCCCACAGGCCCCAGGAGUGCUAGACGGCACCCUGGGCAUCCUUCCUUUUCCCUGCCCCGCGUUUUGGAGCAGUCCUAGCGUCAGAAUGGGGAUCUGGCCAGGAUCAAGAGAGCUGAGGGACAGAGGCCUCCAGAAGGCUGGAGACCUUGGCUAGAUGGGCCCACACUGAUUCUUGGGACAAAGAUGGGGACACUGCGUCAGUCUCAGUCACCAAGGCUGACCUGGCCCCUCUCUUGGCUCAUCUUGGUAAAGAUAGAUUUUAGGCUGUGGGCACAGACUGACGCCCUCUCUAACGCAGCAGUAGGUCCUCCAGGGCAAGGUGUGGCCUCCUGGAGUCCCCAGCUGGUGAAGCCCUGUCUGAGGGUGACGACCACUCUCUUGUUCUCCCUUUCUCCCCUCGGCCAAUCGGGGAUUCCCCGUCACAGAGGAGGGGUCUGGAACCCUGCUGGGAUUACAGUUUGUCAGGAGCCUUGGGCUGGGUCACACUAUCUAAGGUUGCGGGUGUGUGACCACGUGCAGGCCACUGCAGGCUCCGGCAGCAUCUGUUUCCUCAUCUGUGAAAUGAGGAGAACAACCCCUGCCCUAGCGGACACUCACGACUGUGCACAGCGACAUGGCAGGGGUGCAUUCCUAAGAUCCCUGCCCAAGUUUAUCCUGGGCUGUGCCCAGGCCACCUGUGAGUUGUUCCCUCUCUGGGAAAUGUCCCAGGCAGCAGCUGCAGCUGGAGAGUGGCCCGCUCCCAGGCCGGCACUCAGCUGGCGGCCCGUCUCAUCAGGGCCUUUGUCCUGUUCUGCACGGCAGGCAGCAGCAAUUCCCUGGCACCGCGUGGAGCUGUACAGGCUCGUGCUGUGCUGAGAGGCCUCCCCGUCCCCUGCCCCCGGCCCC